AACAAGAAAAAUUGGUUUUUCUGGAGCACAAAUUCUUUGAGUUAAGAGAGCUAUUUUAACAUCCAACGUUCAAGCACAACUCUCUUUUUCACCAAUCUCACUCAUUGCCAACUUCUUCCCUUUUCUUUUAUUUUUACAUUGAGCUCAUCUUUCAUGCUUUUUCUUUUCUUCUUUUUUUCUUUUCUCAUGCAUUUUUCUUUUUCACCUUUGAGUUCAAUGCUUCUCUUUUUCCUUUUAACUUCCCCUAAACAACCCCAAACUUGAACCUUUUCAAUACAUACAAUUAUUCUCAACCCAACUCAAGGUAAUUAAUUC
rnacentral:lncRNA from 1 species